rnacentral:rRNA from 1 species
UACGGAGGGGACUAGCGUUGUUCGGAAUUACUGGGCGUAAAGCGCACGUAGGCGGAUUUGUAAGUCAGGGGUGAAAUCCCGGGGCUCAACCUCGGAACUGCCUUUGAUACUGCAAAUCUCGAGUCCGGAAGAGGUGAGUGGAAUUCCUAGUGUAGAGGUGAAAUUCGUAGAUAUUAGGAAGAACACCAGUGGCGAAGGCGGCUUACUGGUCCGGUUCUGACGCUGAGGCGCGAAAGCGUGGGGAGCAAACAGG